UCUCCGUUGGUGACCAGCGGAGGGAUCAUUACCGAGUACUAUAACUCAUAACCCUUUGUGAACCUUCAUACCUGUUGCUUCGGCGGCGCGCCUCUCGGGGCGUGCCCGCCGGCAUUAUCAGAAUCUCUGUUCGAACCCGACGAUACUUCUGAGUGUUCUAAGCGAACUGUUAAAACUUUCAACAACGGAUCUCUUGGCUCCAGCAUCGAUGAAGAACGCAGCGAAACGCGAUAUGUAAUGUGAAUUGCAGAAUUCAGUGAAUCAUCGAAUCUUUGAACGCACAUGGCGCCUUCCAGUAUCCUGGGAGGCAUGCCUGUCCGAGCGUCGUUUCAACCCUCGAGCCCCCGUGGCCCGGCGUUGGGGACCUGCCCAGGCAGUCCCCGAAAACCAGUGGCGGACCCGACGGGCCCUUCCUUUGCGUAGUAACAUCUGCCUCGCAUCGGGAGCCCCCGGGCUAUCCGGCCUCUAAACCCCCCUCAAGCCCGCUCCGGCGGCACCAAGGUUGACCUCGGAUCAGGUAGGAAUACCCGCUGAACUUAAGCAUAUCA
rnacentral:rRNA from 1 species